rnacentral:rRNA from 1 species
AUUGAACGCUGGCGGCAGGCCUAACACAUGCCAGUCGAGCGGAUGAAGGGAGCUUGCUCCUGGAUUCAGCGGCGGACGGGUGAGUAAUGCCUAGGAAUCUGCCUGGUAGUGGGGGAUAACGUCCGGAAACGGGCGCUAAUACCGCAUACGUCCUGAGGGAGAAAGUGGGGGAUCUUCGGACCUCACGCUACCAGAUGAGCCUAGGUCGGAUUAGCUAGUGGGUGGGGUAAAGGCCUACCAAGGCGACGAUCCGUAACUGGUCUGAGAGGAUGAUCAGUCACACUGGAACUGAGACACGGUCCAGACUCCUACGGGAGGCAGCAGUGGGGAAUAUUGGACAAUGGGCGAAAGCCUGAUCCAGCCAUGCCGCGUGUGUGAAGAAGGUCUUCGGAUUGUAAAGCACUUUAAGUUGGGAGGAAGGGCAGUAAGUUAAUACCUUGCUGUUUUGACGUUACCAACAGAAUAAGCACCGGCUAACUUCGUG